CCAUGGCCUUGUACUUGGAGCUGCUGACACAGAUAUAAAUUUACCUAAUGUUAUUUAUUAACAAACAAGAAAUUGCACGAUAGCACACAGCAAAAAGAAGUUUGACUCCCAUGUAAACAUUUAGUGCAAAAGGAUAGACAGACAUAGAAUAUAGAGUGAACAGAAUCACUGUGUUGCUGUUUGAUGUUAAUUAAAAGAAAAAAAGAAAGACAGGAUCGGAAAACUGGAUCGGCUUCACUAAUCAGAUAUCCGAUCCAGCUAAUUUGUCAAUAUCAGAGACGAUAUCUGAUCCAAAUAUCAGAUCAGUGCAUCCCCAUAAAUAAGUGUGUUUUUCAGACUCUGCCUGGAUCCUGCUCUGUUAAAGCUAAUUUGUUCUGUGUUCUGUCCUGAGUAGCUAUGGCUCCACCUGUUGGCUAGCAAAACUCUAACACAGGAAGUACAAUCACCGAAGGAAAACCAGGAAGUGUGAACUCUAUAAAAGGACCAGGAAGUUGGAGGUUCUCCUCUUUGUCUUUAGUAGAAAACACAGGUGUCAGUUCCUGAGGAGGCCCGACUGCAAACUGACUGGUGAGUUUUGUUUUGUGUGAUUGACAGGUGGCUGGUCCUUGGUUGUUUAACAGAAUAUGCUGUUAGAACAUGUAUUUUUGUUGCUUGCCUUUUUAAGUACUUAGUUUAAUUUAGCCUGGUGCUUAGCCUAGCAUGUAGCACACAGCUUAUCUGAUUUGCAUAUUACAUUACGAAGUUUGGUUUAGGCCAGUAACUUAGCUUAGCUUUUAGCAUCAGUGCGGGAUUUAGCAUGUAGCUAGGGCUCACACACAGCUCAAUUCAGCAUGUAGCUCUGCGCUUGGCAUUAGCAAUUAGCAUUAGCAGUUAGCACUUAGUGUGUGCGUGUUUUGUGUGUGUGUGUGUGUGUGUGUGUGUGUGUGUGUGUGUGUGUUACGUGUGUUUGUAAUCACACACAUAGGUAGGACAGUCACAUGCUGAUUUAUGAAUAAUCUUUCAAUGUCACAGGCUGUGUCCUAUAUAGGGGACUUUAUGGGGGUUAGCACCAUUUUGAGGGGUGUCCGAAACCUGAGUGAUCAAUUCCAGUGCCCCACAUAGGCGACUCAAAAUUUCCCAUAAAGCAUUGCAAAAUGUAUCAUCAAGAUUCAGACAAAAGUUUCUGAACAUUUCAACGUUUGUGAUGGAUCUGAAAUAUCUAUUUAAAAAUGAACUUUUUCAGGACAUUCAAAGUUGCUGAGCUGCACCUGUGCAUGUGUGUGUGAGAGAGUCAGGUGUGUAUGUGUGUACUUAUAUCUGUUUUUAUGACUGUUUUGUGUACUUUAGCACCUUCAGAACCUCCCUCUCUACCUGCAGUGAUAAAUAUUACCUUUACCUUCACUCUGUUGUUGCUGUUUCAGAGUUAAUGCAGUAACCGCUCUGGGUGACUUCAUGUUUAUGUCUCUUCAUGCCGGUCUGAUCCGUGGAAACGCUUUAAAUCCUACAUACACACAAAUAUUUAAACUCAGAUUUAAACGGGAGGUUUUCUCCAGACAGAAACAAAACAGACCUUACAGGCUGCAGCACAUAAAAGCGGCGGGCUGCAGCUGCGUGAAGGCCACAUGUAAUAUAUAUUGGACUUUUCACACCACCAGCACCGGCAGUCUUUCAUCAGAGCUGCUGUGUGAAACUCUGUCCACCCGUCAGGUUUCUCCAUUCGUGCUGGCAGGCCGCCAAACUCAGUAAAAACCUUAAAGGCGAGGAGGGAGGCGGAGACCCCUCUCACCCAGUCCCCCCUGAUGUCUUUGAGGAGUGUUAAAGUGCCUCCUCAGCUCUGAAGCCUCUCAUUACAGACUCUUGAAUGCACAGAGAAAGAGAGAGCCGAGCGUACGUGCAUGAAUGUGAUGAUUACUGUAAACACUGAGGCGAUCUGUCUCUCAGCAAACACACACACACACACACGGAGCGUUUAAAAGUGAAGUGUUCGGUAAAGAUGGAGGAGCUAUAGGGAGGGCCGAGGAAAAUGUUUCUGCAAGCCGAGACAAGUGCAGAGACCUGAGAGCACUUAACUAAUCAUUAUAUACACACUCAGGUACAGAGGAGUCACUCACUGCUGACAGAAACAUUUCUACACAAUUUAUGAACCCACAGCACUGUUGUUACAGACCUGACUGAGUAAAUUUAUAAUCAUUACAAACACCGUCUACCUGCGCGGACUCUGGUUCCAGCCAGAGAGGACGAUCUGCACAUUCCUCCUCCCCCUGAUGAUGAUGAAUGUUCGAGCAAAACAAGGUGAAACAGACAGAAAACAACCCAAACUGUAAACAUUAAAGGGACAUUUCACUCUUUAAUCUCUGACAUUACAACUUCAUAAUGAAAAGGGCUCAAAAACCUCUCGUUAAUGCUUCCUAAAUUCUCUGUUGUAUACAAGAAGCUCUGCUAAAGUCAGCUCGUCUUAAUCGAUAUCUCAGAGUUGAACUCAACUGUAGUUAUUUAGAUAAAAUAACCCCAAACAUCACCACCUCAUCCCC